GCUGCGACCGCGAGAGAAAGGGGACGGGAGUGGAAGAGCAAGGCAGACCCGUCGACAGCAGCGGGAGAAAGUGCACUCUCCGUACAACUCAUAAGCUGCAUUCUCGCUUCACCUGCCUACACAUUAACUAAUAUUUGUAAACGCUGCAUUCCUUUUAGAGGAAGUCUGCCGACAAGUGUUGGGAAUUUAAGGCGUUAGCGAACUUCGAACGGGGGAAAUCCUACUAGAACUCAGGUUGAGCAAGAGCAACUGGAGAACGGAACCCAAGUUCGACUUUUAGCGAUGUACUUGUUUUCGACUGGAAAGUGUUUUUACUGGACUGCGCUCAGGAAAGAGAUUUAAAUACCCCUAGAGGCAGGCAAUCUCGCGGUGUGAUCCAGGAUAGUGGACUGCCCGGGACGGAAGGUCCGUGCAUCUAGCUCGAGCCCUGAGGGAUAUCACCAGCCUCCCCACAUGUUCCAAUUUCCGCCCCCGCUGCACGCGGAGCACCUGUUCAGAAGACUUCAUCUCACCGAAGGGAGACUAACCCGGACAUUGACUGGUUAUUGAAUGCAAUUUAUCAUUUUGACCUCCCUUCGAGAAUAUUUUACAUACUGAGCUGUUAGCUCACUGAACUGGAAGACGUCUGAGAAAACUCUGACGUCUAUUUAACUGGAUGUAUUCUAACUUAAAUAAAUCAAUAACGAUUUUACAAAGGUUCAUUACAUUAAAUACAUAUUCAAGACCACGGGAAGGCCUUUCAUCGAUGGACUAACAACCUCAUUCUUUUGACGCUGCGAAGUGCCUAAUCUGGGUGUGAGGAUGAAGGUAGUGGUGUGACGGUGGCCAUGGGACAGGAGAGACACUGGGCUCUGGCAAUCACUGCUGCUGCUGUCCUCUGUCUACUGGGUGAGUCCCAGUCAGCUGAUCCAGUGGUGCGGGCCCGGGUGGGGGGGUCGGCGGAGCUCAGCUGCAGUCUCACCUCCACCUCCCAGGGAGCCUCCACCCCCAACCUGGUGCCCCUCCACGUGGUGGAGUGGGUCCGCCUUGGCUACAACGUGCCCGUCCUCAUCAAGUUUGGGGUGUACACUCCGCGCGUGCACCCCAGCUA